UUUUUUUUUUUUUUUUUUUUUUCGACCCUGUCCUUCACCUCUACUGCUUAGAUUCAUCCUUUUGGUGUCUGUUUGCACAGGAGCUUGCAGACCUUUUGCACCGGAUAACCCUACACCUGGGGCUGGUUUCAUGGGCUUGUGACCCAAGCAGCCACAUAGGACCCCGUACAUGCUUGGAAGGGCCCUGCAUUGGGUUUAACAGUCUGUCGCCAUCUUAAAAUUCUUCAUAAUGUUUUAACAAGGGGCCUGCAUUUUCAUCUUGCACUGGGUCCCAUGAAUUACUCACACACACCCAAUCCCCCUGCCUGAGGCCAACACUGACCUUCCCAGUCUGGGUCCGUUAUUGCUGGGCCUCCUCAGCACAGACUCUCCCCAGAUCCCAGAGGGCCUUGCCCACUCUUCACUCUCCUUCUCUGCCCCGCCCUGCACUCCUCCCAUGAUCCUCCACUGUCCCCAGCCAGCUCAUCAGCAUCUAUGUCUUACACCCUCCUUUCCUCUGGUUUUGGCAAGGCCAGGAACACGACAGCACCAUGAGCCUGUUUCCAGUCUGGGGUCACUUUGUGCAGACAGGCUUGCUCCCCCAGGCCAGCUGCUGUUCCCCUCCAGAAGCAUGCCUCAUGCAGAGCGGGAAACCUUCAAAGGAGCCAUGCCUUCCUGGUUGCUGCCUUCACAUCCUGGUCCAGUCUGGUGGUGUUUUUGCAGUUUUCCUGUCAGCUUGGGGGGAGAAGUUCAAAGAGACUCUGUCUUCCUUUCUGGCUUCCUUUCCAGACGGAGCAGCUUUCUCUCGGCAGCCCUCCUGUCCCACCACUUUCGAGGAAAUUGGUGUCUUUCCUCCUCCCUCCCUCACCAAAAAAAAAAAAAAAAACCUGCUUGAUUUCUGAGGGUUAUCCUGAAAGUAGGUGUGUGUGUGUGGGGAGAGGGCCCUCUGAAGCAAGAGGCAGGUCAGAGGUCGCCAACACACUGGCUUGGGGGUCUCUCUGCCAACACUCUCCUGUGGAGUUAGAUCCUCGGAGGCUUGGAGAGGGAGAGGCAGGGAAAGAGAGAGCUCCUGGGGCUGGAAAAACACUAGCACCUCUCAUGGAGCACCUGUGUCGCUAGUUCUGAAAGAAGGUGAUGGAUUGUUCAUAACUGGCUUCUCCUGGACAGACUUCCUAGGGGCCCAGGACAAAAGGGAGUCUGCCCCCACCUGCUGCCUUCCUGUGAGUGAAGCUUUGCAGGGAAACUGCUCCCUGAGAAGAACCUUGGAUCCCAGUGGUCUGGGAAGGGCCCAGAAUGUAUAGCAGGCACUCCUGACCCAAACAUGGAGUUUCCCGGUUCUCCCCAGGCACACGUGUCGCUCAGCCCUGUACUUGGCCAUUCUAAUUCCCCCAGAAGACCUAGCAUAAUGCUCAGGGAAGUGUUCAAGCACAAUUAACAUGACGUCUCGCUCCUGCCCUUCCUCUUUCCUCCUCUAAUUAUUAAAACGGGUCAACAAGACCUGGGGGUAGAAGCACCAUGCCUGCUGUUCCCAUGCCAGAUAAAACCAUUCAUCUCAGGAGAGCCUGCCAGGCCCAAGGACGGGUUCAGGGCUCCAAGUCUACUCUUCCAGAUCAGCACGGAAAAUAGCCAGAUGCCAACUGGGCCCUGUCCCCAUAUCUGGGGACAGGACUAAAUAAGUAGGACUGUGAGCAGGCCAGGAGACGACGUGAACAGUAGGCCCAGAGGCAGCAGGAACACCCUCUGAAAAUCUAAAUCCCCAAAGGGUAGAGGGAACUGGUUUCCAGAGAGGCUCCAAAGGAUAAGCCUUGUAGAGAAGGACUCACAUAUCAGGGGAAUAGCUGUUGAGGCUCUGGAGAAAGAGAGAGGCACCGUGGGGCAGGAGAAGGUCACAGGCACAAAUGAGGGGGACUCACUGAAAGUUACUUCUUACCCCCUAAAAGGGCAGAUGAGUAAGCCUGGUCAUUUCCUCUCAGCAAAUCUGUCUAGCAGAAGGGGUAAGAGGUACACAGGGCAGGAAAAUCACACCAUUGAAAUCAAAGUGAUUCACCUUGAGCCAAGUGAGAAGAGGAAGGGAAUGGAGUAUGUGGUGAAGUUUUAACCACCUUCAUCAAUUGUGUGGCCCAGUAGUUCCUGGGACUCUCCUCCCAGGAUUCAUGCCAAUGGACUUGGAGUACUCUCCAUGGCCAGAAGUAGUUAGCUGUGCACAGACAGUGUGCCCUUUCACAGCAUGCAGGUGAUGGCAGGAAGUGCCCACCCAGCCAGGGACCCUAUCCCCCAGUUUGAACCACUUGCUUAAGUGUGCUACCACGUGACUAGUGCUCACUGAUGGAAAAUGAACAGACAUGGUGUGUGUCAUGGCCAAGCUGAUGUGGCUGAGAAGACAUCUUCACCCUCUCUUUCCCUAUCUGCAGUGGCUUUUGCAGGUACAUGCUGCAGUUAGCAGAGUGACAGGCUAGAAGGAGCCUGGAUCCCUGAAUCACCCACCAAAUGCCCACAUUAGACAGCUGUGUGAGUGAGAAAUAAGCUUUUGUGUGUUAAGCCUUUGAGUUUGGGGGGGGAGCUAUAUAAUAUAGCAGUUGGCGUUUCUGAUAUCUCCAACCCAGAUGUUGUACUUACAGGAAUGUUUCCUAAAGGAAUCAUCAGAGAUGCAAAGAUUUAGAGAGCCUAAGAAUGAUGAGCAAAACCUUAAAUGGUCUUAAUCACAGGGCACACUGCAUAGGGCUCUGAAAUGUGGGAAUGGGAAGUGGGCAGCCUAGGAGAGAAAGAUAGACUGGGCAACUGCUCAGGAGUACAAACACAAAUGGUUGUGAUGGGAAUAAGGAAGAACAGCAGUUGAGAAGAAGAGAACUGAUCACAAGGUUGGUGAUUAACAAGUGUGUAAACCCAACAUUUUGGAAGAGGUUGGUGAACAGAUCCCAGCAUGGUUAUACUUUGUUAACUCUGAUCAAGGGUAAUCAGCAUUUUUUCCUAAGAAAUCCUUUGACAUAUGAUGAACUGGCCAAGGUCUCUUUUAUUUUUUAUAUCUAGAUUUCUCCAGCCCAAGGACCCUCGCAUUAGUGUUUUCAUGAAUUUGAAAUCUUUUCUUUCCUUUUCGUCGGUGAUCCUACUCACCAUCCUCUCUGGCCCCAGGCAGUGACGGUAGUAUUGGUAGAGUAAGUACUAGUACUGAAAUUAUGUCUCAAAUAUAAAAUAUUAGUUAUGUCUAGUAUAUGAAAUGUACUAUAUUUGUAUCUAAUGUAUACUUUCAAAUUACUUUUGACAAAUGUUUUCACUAUUUUGCUGAAUCAUAAUCUCUAUUUCAAAAGGUAUCUUCCAGACUGGAGACACUCAUAUAUACUCAUACACAUAUACAGUUGAUUUUCAGAGUUCUGUCACUUCAUUUUUUUGAAAUAGUAAACUCAAAUGUAAGCAGAAAAUCAAAGAAAAAAAAAAAAAAAAGAAAAGGAAAAAUUAUUCCCCCUUGGUAGCUGUGUUAGUCAGGAUAGGCUAGUGUAUGCUGCAGUAAUAAAAUCACUCUGAGAUUCCCAUGGACACAAAAAGUCAUCUUUCUUUCCCGAGCUAUGUGUUCAUCCCACGUUGGCCAGGGACUCUGCUCCACAUAGUCCUCAGGGACCCAGGGUAACAAAGGUUACAGCAUGUGUGGCUGCACUCCCUGGAAUGAGAGGCUGCCUCAACCAGUGGAAGAAGGGGAAGAAAGUUAAAAAAAAAAUAAAGGCUCAUGGGUAUUUUCUGCCCCAGCCUGAAGAUGACACAGCAUUUCUGCUUUUACGUCACUGCUCAGAAGUUGUUACAUGGCCCCCCUAAUAUGCAGGACUAAAUACAGUGUUUAGUGAGCUCCAGUGUCUUUGCCAUAAUUACUAUGUCUUCUCUCAUUCUGUCUGCCAUUUCCUCUCUGGAACUGCCUGUGUUUUCUUAUCUUUACAUAUGGAUGAUAGUCUAACUUUCUGAGAUUGCAUGAGGACAGGGAUAGCAAACAUGUGCCGUCACUUCCUCCUCCCAUGCCCAGCAGACCGUGUUUAUAGAUCGUGGCAGUCUUUUCUGCUACGUUUGUCUAGAUGUAGUAUCCAAAUCCUUCCCAACACAGGUGGCUGCUAAUUUCUCUGUAUCAUCACUAGGAAUGAAACUUACUUGCCAUUCCCUAUGGAAUUUCACUGACCCCUAGGACGCAGAAUUGAUUUCCUUGGCCCCAUCUCCACUCCUUUCUUUGGGGAUGGACAUGAGACCAAUAGGCACUGGAUCAAUUCUGUUAUCGCUACUGUUUACAAGUACCUAAUCUGAGGCCUCCGAUGUUACCAGCAAUUUCAGGCUCUGGUAUUUUCCCUUCCACUUCUACCACUUUGAUCAGGGUAAGAACAAUCAAAGGAAACUUGACUUCCUUCACAGCUAACAUGGGCUAACACAAAGACUGAAAGAAAAGAAAUCUUUAGGGAAAAACAGAAAUGCAAGUCCUUUUGACCCAGAACUCUGAAAUGGAUCAGUACAGACCUCCUUUCCAGAAGAAACUCCUCUUAGACUUUCACAAAUCACUCCCUUAAACCAAGGAAGGGAAUCUUUCUUUCCUGAUAUCAGUGACAUGGAGCAAAGAGAAAAAUCUUUCAUUAAAAAAAAUAAUAAUAAAUUUUAAACAGCCCUUUCCUUAAGAGAUAAAUAAAAUUAGGAUCUCAAUAAGAAAAUUCAGAAUGUGCUUCCCUUUCGGCCAUUAAAUCUCUGCUCACCAUUCUCUGUUUCUUGCAAGCUUUAUCCUGAGUCUUUGCUUUCUCUGGUAAGUGACACUUUAGAAAAUAGAGAAGUUGGGGGCAGGCUGCUGGCUUCCUUAAGGGUUUUUUUUUUCCCCCUCUAAGUAGCUUCCCAAAACUUCUUAAAGUCCUUGUGUUAUACAAAGUGAAGAUUUGUUCUUUUACACCAAUAGUGGAGAAGUGUCUCCGGACAGAAGUUUUCGCUACUGCUGCUGUUUGGAAUUGGCUCAGCAGACGUAAACAGGGUCAUCCAGGGCCAAAGAGGGUGGGUGUUUAGUUUUAAAGCUCUGGGGUUAAGAGUGAAAGCAUGUGACUCCAGCCUGGCCAGAAACAGAGAAGCCUUUGUGUGCUGGGAGCUAGCGAUUGGCAGUCCUGAGGCUAAACACAGGGGGAGCGGGAAGGAGAGCGCUGACACAGGUUUCAAGGGGCUGAUAGGAUACCACUGGAGGGAGCUUAACUCUUUGUGUCAGACUCCUGGGCUUCCACGGGGAGAGCUUCUGUUUGUGGCUCACGGCAGAACAAAGAACUUAAAAAACAAAACAAAACAAAACAAAAAACAUCUAAAUAGCGCUUCCUUGGCUUGCAAAGGAACUCAGGUAUUCCCGUAGCCAGUGUUGAGAAGAGGCAAGCUGAAGCAACUGGAAGCAAGAGCAAUGUCCAAGGGGCAAGUUUUUGUUAGGUUAUAUGAUAGAACUUCCUACUAGUCCUAACAUCUAAACACCGCAGGCUGUUCCUGUGCUCCCCACAACUUCUCCCGCUUUCUGAACGGCUGGGAUGAACAGAGGAGACAACACUGCAGCCUGGCCCACAUCUCCCCAUCAUUGCCCCUCUUACUUCUCCUCCAGAGGGUUGGCACUGCCUGUGGGAAGGUGGUGGGCUGAGUCAGCAGGCUGUGCCUUAAGGCGCUGGCAGCCCACGGCAGCAUCAUUCACCCAGGUGCUGGGGGACCCAUGUUUGCUUGAUGAGCAUGGGCUCUGCUCACGGCCAGCACUGAGUGAGGCAGGUGGCCCUCAGCCUGGACCACCAUCCUACCCUACUCAUAGCCCACCUGCCCCAGUGCCAGCAUACCCUUUCCACGACCCCACCUCUGCCCAGAAAUUGCUGUAUUCAAUCUGACUCAAGUGAGCAUGUUUCCUGAAAGUCUGCAAAAAUCUGACUUCCAGACUUUCGCCAGGAAGGAAAAGGAAACAAGAUUAAUUUUGCCACUUACAGCCUAAACCCAUGGGACUUCUUGGGUGGGGUUCAGAAAUAGAUAUGGCAGAGGAUGGUGUAUUUCGAGGAACAUCACAACAGUACUCAUCCCAUUCCUCCCAUUGUUACUCAUCACACCUACCUUCCACAAAAGUUUCUGAGCAUCUUGCAAGUGUCGGUUCUUUGCUGGACAGUGGGGAUAUAGCAGUGAAUGAGACAGACCAGUUUCUGCCACCAGGAGUCUGUCCAGAAAGGCACAAAGCCAUGCACACACUAAUCAAGGAAAUGCUGAUGGUUGCACCAGGUAAAAAGUGGCUUCCAGUGGUGAGAAGUGGUCCUGGCAGUAUGGCAUUCAUUCUUACAGGUGAAUUUCAGUUUCCCCAGGUGAUGAAAUGUCAAUGUCUCUUCUCUAUAUGUCAGGGGCGUAAUAACCAAAAUUAUGUGUAUGGCAACAGCAACAGCAUAUUGAGGCAGUACGGAGACUUACUGCUCUGGCAAAAGGCUCGUUGACCCCAGGUUUGAUCUACCAGACUCAGGGCUGAUCUACCAGAUUGUGCUCACUGUUUAAAAUAGUACCCAUCCCAAAUAUUCUAAAUUUGGGUUGUGAUGAUGAUUGGUACACUAUAAAUAUAAUAAAAUUCAUUGGAAAAAAAAAAAAGAGUACCCAUCCCACUUGAGAGAGAGAGAGUGUGUGUGUAUGUGUGUGUGCGUGUAUGUGUACAGGACCAGUGACAUUUGUUUCUGGUGCUCAAAGGCACUGGGCAAAUGUAAUGAUGUGUAAGAAACGAGGUUGCUACUGGGCACUGAACCCUCUCUACUUCAAAGAUAGGAUCACUGAGCAGAACCCUGGGCUCACUCAGGUGAAAAGCAAGAACCUUUUAUCAGGGGGCUCAGAGUUCCCAGACCUUGCCCUUAUCAGCUUCUGGGUCUCCCACAGCCACAGGCCGUGGUCUCCUUCACCUUCAGGGUCAGAUUUCUCUGCAAUAGUUCCUUCAGCAUGCUCCUCUGAGACACCUUCAUGAGAAACCCCUUUCAUUCCUGAGUUUAAAGGAAGGCACCCAGACUCACUGCCCUCUUUUUCAAGCUGGAUAAGACAGAAGGGCUACAAAGACAACCCUUGCCUGGGCUGAGGGCCCUGAAAAGACCAGACUGCUGUCACAGCUUCAGAUCCCCCUGUGUGCUGAUGGAGAAGUGGGCAGCUCUGAAAUCAAAAAAGCAGUGGAGUGAGUUCCUUUGUGGCUCAAUGGGUUAAGGAUCCAGUGUUGUCCCUGAGCUACUCAAGUCACUGAUGUGGCUUGGGUUCAAUCCCUGGCCCAGGAACUUCUACAUGACAUGCAGGUGUGGCCAAAAACAAAGAAAAAAUUUUUUAAAGAAAAAGCAGUAAAUACAGUGCCUCUCAAGACUGCACCACCCUCCUUGAGGGCAGACACAAGGGUGAAGUGUCUGGGAGGGAGGGUCACUGCUCAUGGUCUAAGUGAAAGCAGGGGCAGAGGAGUACCCGUUAUGGCUCAGUGGGUUAAGAACCUGACCAGUAUCCAUGAAGAUUCAGGUUCAAUCCCUGGCCUCGCUCAGUGGGUUAAGGAUCUGGCAUUGCUAUGAGCUGUGGUGUAGCUCACAGAUGCGCCCGGGAUCCCACAUUGCUGUGGCUGCGGCGUAGGCUGGCAGCUGCAGUUCUGAUUUGACCCCCAACCUGGGAACUUCCAUAGGCCAUGGGUGCGGCCCU
rnacentral:lncRNA from 1 species